CCUACGGGAGGCAGCAGUGGGGAAUUUUGGACAAUGGGGGCAACCCUGAUCCAGCCAUGCCGCGUGAGUGAAGAAGGCCUUCGGGUUGUAAAGCUCUUUCGGCCGGGAAGAAAUCGCUCAAGCUAAUACCUUGGGUGGAUGACGGUACCGGAAGAAGAAGCACCGGCUAGCUACGUGCCAGCAGCCGCGGUAAUACGUAGGGUGCGAGCGUGGAUCGGAGCUACUGGGCGCAACGCGUGCGCAGGCAGCGGAAAUCCCCGGGCUUAACCUGGGAACUGCGUUUGUGACUGUGGUGCUGGAGUGCGGCAGAGGGGGGUGGAAUUCCACGUGUAGCAGUGAAAUGCGUAGAGAUGUGGAGGAACACCGAUGGCGAAGGCAGCCCCCUGGGUCGACACUGACGCUCAUGCACGAAAGCGUGGGGAGCAAACAGGAUUAGAUACCCUAGUAGUC
rnacentral:rRNA from 1 species